rnacentral:rRNA from 1 species
UGGCUCAGGACGAACGCUGGCGGCGUGCCUAAUACAUGCAAGUCGAGCGCAGGAAACUGACGGAACUCUUCGGAGGGAAGGCAGUGGAAUGAGCGGCGGACGGGUGAGUAACACGUAAGGAACCUGCCUCAAGGAUUGGGAUAACUCCGAGAAAUCGGAGCUAAUACCGGAUAGUUCAUCGGACCGCAUGGUCCGUUGAUGAAAGGCGCUCCGGCGUCACCUUGAGAUGGCCUUGCGGUGCAUUAGCUAGUUGGUGGGGUAACGGCCCACCAAGGCGACGAUGCAUAGCCGACCUGAGAGGGUGAUCGGCCACACUGGGACUGAGACACGGCCCAGACUCCUACGGGAGGCAGCAGUAGGGAAUCUUCCACAAUGGACGAAAGUCUGAUGGAGCAACGCCGCGUGAGUGAUGAAGGUUUUCGGAUCGUAAAACUCUGUUGUAAGGGAAGAACACGUACGAGAGGGAAUGCUCGUACCUUGACGGUACCUUACGAGAAAGCCACGGCUAACUACGUGCCAGCAGCCGCGGUAAU